ensembl:lncRNA
UUUUUUGUUUUUCAAGCUCAUUAUUUUGUUUUUAAUAGCAUACUCGCAUUAUAGAAUGCUGCUUAUUGACUAAAUAAUGCAGAGACCAUUAACUACGAUGGGGAAUACCGACAAAAUAUCUGUGCCUGUCUAUAUGUACAAUGUAUUGAUUCACGGAUAAUGAUGAGACAUACUGAAUUUAAUUUGGGAUGCCUACUGAAUAUCUAGGCAGAGAUUCAGCAGAGACUGGAAUACGGAUCUUGAACAAAGAGAGGUCCAGGCUAGAAAAUGAAAGGUCACAGAAUCAAAGCCAUGAGGAUGAGUAAGAAGGGAACCAGGAACAUACAAUUAACUAGCCUAUACCAGAAACUUCAAUGUGGUACAGAGAAGGGGGCCGCAUAAAUGAACACCAGGAAGAACACCAGAAAUUAAAGAUAUUUACUAGCAAGAUCAAAUUAGUUUGUGUAUAUGGAAUGACAGGUAUAUCAUCUGCAACAGCUCGAUAAACAUCAAUAGGUGCAGCACUCUCCCUGCUAUCACAGCUCUGUAUUCACAAUGUAAUCUGUCAAUGAAAACAAACAUAUAAAAGCAGCAGAGAAACCAUCCAAUUCUCUUCUAUAGAAUAAUAGCAGCAAUAGGCCCCAAAAGGUACAAAACCUCCUUAGAAAGCCUCGGUAAGAAAAACAUACUUGCCAGCAACAGUUGACAACAGUUUGUCUUUUUGCUGUCACUAGCUGAAUGACAAUUAGAAAGUCUAAAUAUGAACAAUGCCCUACUGGGUGCCUGUUAUACAAAGUAUUCUAAAAAUUCUGAAGAAUUACUCAUCAUGAUCCCUUAUAUCAACAAAGAAUAGUUUCAAAGGAAAAUAAGGAACGAGCAUAUUUGGCCCAUGACACCUGCAGAAUUCAGUGUUUGGGGGUUAGUCAAAGUAAUGACACUCUGCCAUUUACCAACAGAGUAAACUUUGACUAGUUAACCUUUUCUAAAUUUCAAGGAUUUCUGAAAUCUGAAAAAGGAUUAAUAGUACUCACUUCACCUCAAACGGUUGUUAGGAUUAAAUGAGAUAACAUACAUAAAUCUCUUAUUAGCCUGGUACCUGACAUAUAAAGGGCUCAGUAAAUGCUCUGGGAAUCUUGGCACGCACACCUGGAGUUUAAUUUUUUAUUAUGGCUUACCACAGUAUCUUUUUUGCAUUACAUAUGCUAUUCAAGUGCUGCAUUCAGAAAAAUCUUUUCUAUAUUGAAAAUGUAGCAUAUCAAAGAAUUUUAAAGCUGCACAGUAUCUUAGUACCUAAUCCAGUACUGAUAACAAGGUCAGAACUGUUUUCACAACAUAUCUGGAAGACUCCAUAAUAGUCAGGCUUAGUAACUCUUAACUAAACAGCUCCUAUGGUAGGGCACUUUUCUUUGUACUGACCCCAAAUCUCCCUUCUGAUAACCUUCCCCGUCCUGUUCUAGUUCUGCCUCUGGAGCACAGAACAAUAGCGAUCUUUCUUUUGAUAAGAUAUUUAAAGCAUGUCUCCCUCUCUCUUAUCUUCUACUAUUAGGUAAAUGACUAGACCUAACAACUUUCCUGGCUAUUUCAAGUAAGAUAUCCCCAAAUAAACAGGGUCCAGAUACAUUCCUAUGGAAUCCAGUGGACUGUCUUUUGCAUUAGUUUCUUAUUCGUGAAGUAACAUAUUAUCAAAAACUCAGUAACUUAAAACACUUCUGGAGGUCAGAAUUUCACUAGUCUGAAAUCAAGUUGUUGGCAGGGCUGCCUUCAUUAUGGGUGUUCUAGGUCAAAAUUUAUUUCUUGUCUUUUCCAGCUUCUACAGGGUGCCUAAAUUCCUUUGGCUCACAGCUGCUUCUUCCAUCUUCAAAGCUGGCAGCAUCUUCUUCUUCCUAAUCUCCGCUUCCACUGUCACAUCACUUUCUCAGACUCUCCUGCCUUUCUCAUGCAAGGACCCUUGGGGUUACACUGCAUUCAUUUGGUUGUUGCAGGAUAAUUAACCCAACUCAAGACCUCUAAUCUCAUCUGCAAAGUCUCUUUUGCCAUGCAAGAAAACAUUCACAGGUUCUAGGACUCAGAACACAGAACCUGGAGCAGAGGAGAGAUCAUUUAUUAUUUUUAAAAAAACCGUGCUUAAUUCAUUAAUUUGUAUUUAUAAUCAAUCUGAAGCUCUCAGAUUGUUUUCACUGGAAUCUUCAUCAAAACUAGACUUUCAUGUUGACUUUAUGUUGGUUUCUGAAAGUCCUUUUAAUCUAUUUAGGUAGUAUGGAAAUCAUUUUCUGCUAUUUGAGGUAGCAGCUAUUCCAAUCAGCUUGUAAAUUUCAUGAACCUGCUUUAUACAGCUUCUUUCAACACAAUGGUUUUUUAAAAUAAAAUUAAAAAGAACAAGAACUUGUAGGAUGACCUUAUCUGAUAUUCCCUGGGCACUACUGAUCAGCUAAAACUCACUUAAUACUCUCUCACCCAGUCUAUAUUUUUCUAUUUUAUUCAUGAUGAAAUCAUGACAAAUAUCCUUCUGAAAUAUGUGGUUUAGAGUUCUCACUAAAGACAGCUUAAUUUACAAAAGAAAAAAGUUUAAUUUGGUCUUUUGUAAACUGUUAGUGAAUUUGUUCCCCUACUUUUUCCCGUUAAACUUUUACGUAUUUACUUUCCUUAAACUUAGUUUAUAAUGAACUAUAUUGAUUACAUUCAGAAUUCCUUCUUUUGCUAUUAUGACCUCCAUGAUGACAAAUUUUGCCAUAAGCUGUUAUUUUUUUAAAAUAAAUUUUUUUGGAGUAUAGUUAGUUGUGUUAGUUUCAGAUGUACAGCAAAGUAAAUCAGUUACACAGAUACAUAUCUGUUCUUUUUCAGAUUCUUUCCCCAUAUACGUUAUUACACAGUAUCUUAAGCUCCUGUUAUUAAUAAUUACAAAGAUUAAUUUAAAGAAAAAAUAUGAACAGCUUCUAAAAGGAAAUACAUAGACUCAGAGUGACAGGCUGAUACUCAAAUCUCCCUUAUGAGAGACAGAGACAACAAAGUGUUUAAUUUUAGUCUUCUUUCCUCUUUCAUUCAACUCAACAAAUCUGAUACACUGGCUCUCACCAAAUGGAGAGUUAAAGCCAACGUAACUUAAAUGUUUACUGGCAACUUUUCAGAAGUACACGUUAAAUUUAACAAAAGAAAAUUAGGGGAAAAAUCUUUUAAGAUCAUCAUCUCUGCAAAGAUGCUUUGUCCAUUUAAUUACAGUCUGAAGACAGCUCCAUAAAACACUCAGUGCUAGAACAAUUAGGUAAGGGAUAAUUUACAAUCCUUCUUACCCAACCUUUCAUUUCUUGCCUUUAUGUACACUUGACCAAAGGUUUGUCUGAGCUAAUACUUUCUUAAUAUCGGAAAUUUAAUGUGAUGGGAAGACAGGGAGACGGAGAUGAGGUGUGGGAGGGGAAAGGAGCUGCAAGCCGAGCACCACCAUGCCACUCUAACUGAAAGCAGAACACUGUGUACGAAUUAAUCAAUAACAUGUAAAUAUAGUAUCUCUACACAAUAAAACUGAAAACUGUACAGAGGAGAGUAACAAAGAGAACCCCAAACUAAUUAAUAAACAUAAUAAACACAGGAAAAAAAGUUCAGUCAGAAGGUACCCCCCCAAAAAAAAGGUACAAAUGAAGACAAUAAACUACAGCUCUUCAGUUAUCUAAUUGGCAUUCGUGUAGAUUAGAUUAGCAUAAACCAAAGAAAGCACUCUGCUGAUGAACUAAAGGGCAAGUUUUAACUUCAAAGGGAACUUGAAAGCUAUAUAUCGAGAACUUAAAAAGCCCGUAUCUUUUAUUUCUUUGCUUUUUAGGGCUUUUUAGGGCUGCACCUGUGGCAAAUGAAGUACCCAGGCCAGGGAGUGAAUCAAAGCCGCACCUUCUGGCCUAUGCCACAGCCAUAGCAAUGCCAGAUCUGAGCCGCAUUUGCAAUCCACGCUGCAGCUUGCGGCAAUACUGGAUCCUUAGCCCAUUGAGCAAGGCCGAGGAUCAAACCCGAAUUCUCAUGGAUACUAGUUGGGCUCAUAACCUGCUGAGCCAAAAGAAGAACUCCAGAAGUCCAUUAUCUUUUAAAUCAUUAACAAUUCCAUUUCUAGAAAUUUAUCUAAAAUUAGAUGUUUCUAAAUCUUCCAACAUGACCAUUUUAAAAUUAGAAAAAAAUUUAUGUGGAGUUCCCACCGUGGCACAGCAGAAACGAAUCUGACUAGGAACCAUGAGGUUGCGGGUUCAAUCCCUGGCCUCAUUCAUGUGAACUCCAACCCUAACUUAUUCUUCAUCUAAGAGUAACUCCCUUAAGUUCCAAGGGUCUACCCUUCACUCAAACUUUUUACUUUAGAACAAAGACCACCUCCCCCUCAUCAGGACAUUUAACCUGUUCAUGUCCACUUACUACAACAGGUCAUCUUUCUUUUUAGGGUCACAUCCUCGAUCCAGACUAGGGGUAGAAAUCACAACUCUAGCUGAUGGCCAGACCCACAGCAAUGCCAGGUCUGAGCUGUCUGAAACCUACACCAUAGCUCAUGGCAAGGCCGGAUGCUUAACCCACUGAAUGAGGCCAGGGAUGGAACCCACAUCCUCAUGGAUACCAGUUGGGUUCUUAACGGGAACUCUCUACAAUAGAUAAUUUUCUAUUCCUUACUUCCAUUUUGGUUCACCAAACUGAAAUCAAUUCUCAACUCUUUCCUUUCUAUUUACUCAAGAAAUAUUCCAGGAUGCGAUUUUAGGAAAUGCCAAAUAUUUUAUCCAUGCCAUUGCUCUACUUUCUAACACAGAUGCCAGGUUUCUAAAUCACUUUUACUGUGACUAGUUAAGUAAACUUUGUGUCCACCCAAAGUUGGCCAUAAAACAUUUUUAUGAAUCAAAUAGUUUCUCCUAGACUUCAAGUGAAGAAAUAAAAAAUUGGUUCCAGGAUAUUAAAAUCAUUUGAUUAGAAGAAAAAACAUUCCAUACAUUAUGUAUUUUAUCUAUACCUAUUUUUCUCCCGACAAAGUUGUAAUGACUAGAUCUAUACACAAACUUGGGAUUAAAACUGAAAAGACUAAACUUAUAAAAUCCCUCAUUGAUUUAAAAUUUUAAUUGUGAAUAUAAAUUAGUAAAUGAAAUGUAAAUAUCUAAAAACACAUUUUAAGUUUUAAACACUGAUUGCACCUACUGUACUACUAUGAAUGACUUAACAAACCUUCAUCCUUCUUUUUUUUUUUUUAGCUUAUCAGGGCCACACUCGCAACCUAUGGAGGUUCCCAGGCUAGGGGCUGAAUCAGAGCUACAGCUGCUGGCCUACGUAGCCACAGCCACAGCAAUGCAGGAUCCUUAACCCAUUGAGCAGAGCAAGGUCAGGGAUAGAGCCUGCAAUCUCACAGUUCCUAGUCGGAUUUGUUUCUGCUGACACACGCCGGGAACUCCUACCUCCAUCAUUCUUAAAGGGCAGCAAAUCCUUCCAGAAAUAUGCAUUAUAGUGCACUUGCUACCUUGCUUCAAAUAUGCAGAAGUUGUUUAGGGCACUCUCUCCCUUUAUAAACAAUACAAUAAACAAAGAUCAACUACUUAAAAAACUUCAGCCUGAACCCAUGAGGAGCUACACACUGGGCUCAACUAGCCUCUUACAGUACUCAGUCAAAUCUGAGAACUGCCAUUUUUACACUGUGUGACCUUGUACAAAUCACACCACCCCUCCAGCUUCUUUACCUUUAAAAUGUAAAGAACAUAAAGACAUAUAUAAAAUACCUAACCCACAUGAUAGCAUCUGGCUGGUAUUUAAUGAGCAAAUGCAAGAUUCUUCCCCUGUCAUUCCCUUGAACUGACUCCACUGGAUUACUUCUUAAAAUAACAUGUAAAAACUAAAGAUAUCCUUUGCACAAACUCAGGAUUCAGGAUCAACAAAAUAAUUUACAGAGCCACCCAGUAGCUAAUAAGUCUUCAACCUGAUAGAUAAUCAAAGUAAGCAAGAAAACAAUGAAAAGGGUGUUAAAAUCUGACUUUUCUUUAAACAGCUUUGAGAUAUAAUUCAUAUACCAUAAAACUCAGUUCUUUAAAGUGUACAAUUCAGUGGUUUUAGCUAUAUUCAGAGUUAUAUAAUCAACACUAUUUCAUUUUAGAAUAUUUUUAUCACACUCCAAAGAAAUUCCAUACCGGUUAGCAGUCACUCCCCACUCCUCCCUCACCUCCCAACCAUAAUCUACUUUCUACCUCUAUGGAUCUGCCCAUUAUGGAUAUUUCAAAUAUCAAAAAACCCGUUAAGUUCAUAAAAUAUGCUCUUAUAUUUACCAAAUAAUGAUUAAGGUCUUCAUAAUGACCUGAACAUAUCUUCAACUAAACCCCAAACUUGGCUGUCAUUUCUAAAAUGAUUUAUCAUUCAGUAACUGUUAAUUGAGAUGAACUAGGUAAUAUACGACCAUUAAAGUUUUAUCUGCUUCCUAAAGGCUUAAAAGCCAUAUUACCAUAAAUUUCCAUAUUAUAGUUUCCCUUUACCAGGGUAUUAUAAUUCUACAUAAGCUAAAACUAAGCUCUGACCAAAGGAGGAAACAAUGAAAAACUCAUGAUAAAGUGUAUAAAGAUAUAGAGAAGAUACUGAAGAGAGACAUUUACAAACUAUAGGGUUAUUGCUCUCAAAGUAGUAACACAUCUAGAGUGGGGC